rnacentral:rRNA from 1 species
AGAGUUUGAUCAUGGCUCAGAACGAACGCUGGCGGCAUGCCUAACACAUGCAAGUCGAACGCCUGUAGCAAUACAGGAGUGGCGCACGGGUGAGUAACGCGUGGGAACCUGCCCUGGAGUGGGGGAUAGCCCGGCGAAAGCCGGAUUAAUACCGCAUACGAUCUGCGGAUGAAAGCGGGGGAUCUUCGGACCUCGCGCUA